AGCAGCCGCCACGGUAAUACGGAGGGUGCAAGCGUUAAUCGGAAUUACUGGGCGUAAAGCGCACGCAGGCGGUUUGUUAAGUCAGAUGUGAAAUCCCCGGGCUUAACCUGGGAACUGCAUUUGAAACUGUCAGGCUGGAGUCUUGUAGAGGGGGGUGGAAUUCCAGGUGUAGCGGUGAAAUGCGUAGAGAUCUGGAGGAAUACCGGUGGCGAAGGCGGCCCCCUGGACAAAGACUGACGCUCAGGUGCGAAAGCGUGGGGAGCAAACAGGAUUAGAUACCCGAGUAGUCCCUGUCUCUUAUAC
rnacentral:rRNA from 1 species